UAGCAUGUUUAGAAAUGUCCUUUUCCCUGCCCACAGCUUACAAAGACACAAUUGCAUAGUGGGAGCCUUUGGGAAGUUUUAAAUAUCUUCUGUGAAUGAGGAGAAAUGUGGACAUGUUGGCCAAGCUGGUCAUUUUCAUGGCGGAUCUUACACUUGCUUUGGCCAUUUUUGGUAUCCUCUAUGCUCUUUCCCUAAUAGCAACCACAGGUAUAUUCAUCUCUGUCCUCUUCUAUAUUUUCAAAGGGAUGGAUAAAAACUGUGACUUCAGCAAGGGAAGAAUCCAGGUGCCAGAUUCCAGCAGUGCUCCUGGGAAGGCAUUUGCAGGCAACAUGGAGAGUCAGGUCUGGAAUGCUCCCCACCUAUUUUCUGGCUGCAAGAGAAGAGGCCCAAGGAGUGUGUUUUUGUCUGCUAGAGAGCGAGGAGCCCUCUAUGGUGGAGGAGGUGUGCAACCGGACCUACCAGAACACCGCACCCACCCAACUGAGAGUCUUCCUUUUCAUGAAGAAUGCUCAAGCUCCUAAGAAAGCCUGAGGUGCAUGAAGUAGAGGAGAUGAAUGCAAAAGGAUUUUAAUUCCCAGGAGUAACAUCUCACUGGCUACUGUGUUUCAAUUCUUCAAGCCUUCAUGCUCUUUGCCCUGCGACUUUACACCCACCAUCAGAAGGUGGCUAGGUCUGUUUUCCCACUUCUUGAAUAGGGGCUGGCCUUUGGACUUGGUUAGGCUAAUAGAAGGCGUCAGAAGUGAGAGGGAGCCAGUUCCUAGUCUGGUUGUCAAGGGACCUCCCACUCCACACUCUGUCGGGAGUACUGCCAGCACCUUGUGAAAAAGCCCCUGCCAGGCUGCCAGAGGAAGAGCCCAUCUGUCCUAGCUGAAGCCAUACUAGUCCAGCCUAUAGCCGGCACCCCCCAAACAUGUGAGAGAGCCGAUCUAUCUCAUCCACACAUGACCACAGAUGUGUAAAGGAGUCCGAUGAGACCAGAAGACCUGCCCCACUUGCUCCUAAACCUUUGAGCAGUAAAUACUUACUAUUCUUUAGGAACUAGUUUUGGGCUGCUCUAACUCAUGUGGAGAAUGCAGUUUCUUAGAAGAUCUAAAUGUUUUAUGAUUUUGUUUUUAUUUUUGUUUAUUUUUGGUGGUGUUUUUUCCGCAGAAACUAUUUUCUUGCUAGAUUUGCUCAAAUGCACAUUGAUUUUGUAGUUUUGAAGAGAAUUCCUUGGUUUAAUCCUACUUUCACAGAAACUCCUGUGUGAUUCGUUUUGUCCUAUAACCGAGGCUACAAGAAACCUGAUGAUGCUACUGGGAAAGAAGUAGCUAAGUAAUUUCAAAAAGUGAAGAGUCUGGAUCCCCAAUCCAAAAAAAAGAAAGGAAAAGUUUAGUAAAAUGAAUAUCAGUUUGCAGAUUUAAAGGCUGGCUCAGUUGAUCUCAUAGUAAUGAAAGCAGAAAAGAUGUCAAGGAGACAGAAUUAAGUCUGAAUAUAACUUUUCUCUCAAAAUGUCAACAUAUACAUUAAAAUGAAUAAAAAAUUAUGACAGGUCAGGCAACAGAUACAUGUUGUACAAUAUGCAGAUAAUAGAAGGGAUGAACAAAUCCAGACCAACAAAACAUUAAAAAAAAUUGAGGGUGUGAUAGUAAUAUUAAAGAAAUUCAAAUUUAAGGAAGAGAAGCUUGAAAGAGACAAAACACAGAUAUCUGAAUGAGAUCUGUUUAACAUAAUUGAUAGUUAAUAUGAUUUGAUUUGGUGCUCCUGUUUUGGGACACGCAUAUUAUACCAGUAGGAUAGUCUCUUAUGCAAAACCUCUUUGAUACCUCCAGGACAACGAGAAAAUAGUAAGAGUAGGUUCCUCACUUAUAAAAAAAAAAGCAAGCAGUUGAAAUACAAUAUUUUGUUUCUUCCAUUUGGAAGUACAUUUUAAACAAGCGAAAUAGAUACCACAUGGCCUGUCAGUCACUUGACACUGAAGAACAAUAUAGGAUUUGUAUCUUAGUUCCCAUUUCCCACAAUGAGUGUUAAUUCUUCCCUGCCUUUGCUCUUGCUAUUUUUCAUGAGCAGAACAUUUACUUGUUCAUUUCCUCUCUUCUUUAGUUGGUAAACUCCAAACCAGGUUCAAACUUAGGAAAAAAAAAGCUUUAAGUUUAAACUAAGAGACCGCCAUUAUUAGUGAAGGUUUUCCUAGUAACUCCAGGCAAAAUAAACCACCAUUGCCAAGAGUUCCUAUUAUUUCCUCACAUCUGUAAGCAUAGCACUAAUUUUAUAUUAUGACUAUUUGUAGUCCUGUCUCCUCCUAUUAAAUCACAAGCUCUUCAAAGGUCCAGGGCAGGAAUCUGCAGUCUCUGAAAUAUUAGAGAUUUUUUUUAAUGUUAAGAUAAAUGCUUACAAAUUAAGUACUUAAAUAUUUUUAGAACAAACUGAAAUGUAUUCACACAUUAAAUUUUGAUCCACAUGCUCAAUUUUGCACUGCAGUAAUGGUAAUGGUACUUGGCUCUCCUAGGUCUACUCCAAAUUUUAGUCAAUUAAAAUAGUUUUAAUACAUCAAGGUGAUUAUCUUUCCAGAGGCAAUAAUUGUUCUCUAUUAUGAUUAUUAGUUAGAUUUUCCAAUUAGGUUUGAUUGAAGAGAGCCAUGGUUUUAAAUAUGCCAGUUCACUCCUUGUUUUAUCUAGCACAUGAAUACGUAUGACUAUAUUUGGAUUCCUAAUACGUAAUGAAAGAGCAGCUUUCGGUGUUUGAAAAGAAUGAAUCCUACUACCCCAAGGUGAUCUGUUUGUCUGCCAUGAUAACUAAUAAAGCUUUCCUUGAUACCCAAGAAGAAUAAGAAAUACCUUACAAGGGGCACCUGGGUGGCUCAAUUAGUUAAACGUCUGCCUUCGCUCAGGUCAUGAUCCCAGGAUCCUGAGAUGGAGCACCAUGUCAGGCUCCCAGCAGGGAGCUUGCUUCUCCCUCUCCUUCUGGCUGCUGCUUUCCCCUGCUUGUUCGCACUCUCUGUCUGUCAAAUAAAUAAAUCAGGAAGGAAGGAAGGAAGGAAGGAAGGAAGGAAGGAAGGAAGGAAGGAAGGAAGGAAGGAAGGAAGGAAGGAAGGAAGGAAGGAAGGGAGAGAAAGAAUGAUCAUAACCUCAACCGAAGGCAGGAGCUUAACCCACUGAAGCACCCAGGCACCCCUAUUAGAUGCUUUAAAGGGUAAAAAUGUCAUGAGGAUAAAAAUGCACAGGGAAUACAGUCAGUGGUGCUGUAAUAGGAUAAAGUAGCUACAGGGGGUAGCUACUUGUGGUGAACAUAAUAUAGAUUUGUUGAAUCACUAUGUUGUACACCUGAUACUAAUGUAACAUUGUGUGUCAACUACAAUGAAAAAAAAAGUUUUCAUCAAAAAGAAAAAAAAAAGGUGAAACUGUCCUAGAAUUAUUUCAAUCUUAAGAGACUCUACUUUUCAAUAAAAAUUACUAGAAUCAUGAUACUGGCUCAGUGUUCUCAUUGCCUCUUUUCCCUUCUUAAAAUCAGAGCUCUUAGAAAAACAAGCCAAUACAUAGAACCCUCAAAAAAGCACCACAGAACACUUUAAGAUAGUAUUUUUUUUUUUUUUACUUAAAAUUUAUGCCCUUUGUGUCAUGGAAAACGCGCUAUCAUAUCCCUUCUCUCAAUGUUUUUUCCCUUCAAAAUACCAUUAGGAUGAAAUGAACUGAGAAUAUGGGAUAAAAUUCCCUGCACUUCUUUGUCCCCAGUUUGGAAGGCACCUUAUAUAAACACCCCCUUCCACUUCACCCCUUAGGUCUUUCCCAAGCCUCAUUAUAAGGAGAAAACUUUUUUGUGUUAUUCUUAAAUGGAGAUUGAAACUCUGGAAGAGUUAUAACUACAAAGAUGUAGAUGAAGUAAAUCAAUUUCAUUAGUUCUCUUUACAUUUUUUUAAAUUUGAAAAUAUUUGUGGGAGCCUGAGUGGCUCAGUUGGUUAAGCAUCUGACUUCAGUAAGGUUAUGAUCUCAGGGUCCUGGGAUCCACCCCUGAGUCAGGAUCCCCACUCAGUGAGGACUCUAUUUGUCCCUCUGCCCUUCCCCCACUCACUCACACUCACUUUCUCUCUCUCUUAAAUAAAUAAAAUAAAAUCUUUAAAAUUUGAAAAUAUUUGGGAGGAAAAAGGCCUACCAUAUUCUCACAUUAAAAACAAAGUUUUAUGAAAGGAAAAAGUCAAAAGGCUCUUCAAAUCAAAGGCUUCCCUUGAGAUAGCCAUUGUCAAGAGCUUAAUAUUUGCUCUUCCCAACUUUCUCUUAUGCUUAUUCUGAAAUACGUUAUGUACUUACAAAAUGGCAUUAGGCUACAUAUAUCAAAUUAAACUUGGUUGUUCUACUUAAAAAUGUGUUUCUUCCCAAGUCAUUAUGUGUAUACCUACUUAUGAUUGCUGAACAUUAGCAAUCUUUUUAAUAUUGGCAAAUGUUUUGCCAACUUGGUAAGUGGAGAAUGAUGUCAUUUUACUUCACAUUUUGAAAAGUCAACAUCACUCAUCAUCAGAGAGAUACAAAUCAAAACCACAGUGAGAUAUCUCCUCGCAUCUAUCUGAAUGGCUGAAAUUAACAACACAAGAAACAACAGGUGUUGGAGAGGAUGUGGAAAAAGGGGAACCCUCUUGCACUGUUGGUGGCAAUGCAAACUGGGGCAGCCACUCUGGAAAACAAUGUGGAGUUUCCUCAAAAAGCUAAAAAUAGAAUUACCCCACAACCCAGCAAUUGUACUACUACUACCCAAAGGAUUAGAAAAAAAUACAGAUUAGAAAGAAUACAUACACCUCAAUGUUUAUAGCAGCAUUAUCAACAAUAGCCAAACUAUGGAAAGAGCCCAGAUGUCCAUGAAUGGUUAAGAAGAUGUGGUACAUAUACAUACAAUGGAAUAUUACUCAGCCAUCAAAAAGAAUGAAAUCUUGCUGUCUGCAACAACAUGGAUAGAGCUAGAGUGUAUUAUGCUAAGCAAAAUUAGUCAGUCAGAGAAAGACAAAUACCAUAUCAUUUUACUCAUAUUUGGAAAUUAAGAAACAAAACAGAUGAGCAUAGGGGAAGGGAAAUAAAAAUUAAAAAGAGAGAGAGAGAAAGAGAUAAGCCAUAAGAGACUCUUAAUUAUAGAGAACAAACUGAGGGUUGAUAGAGGGAGGUGGGAGGGGGAUGGGCUAGAUGGGUGAUGGCCAUUAAGGAAGGCACUUGUGAUGAGCGGUGGGUGUUGUAUGAAAGUGAUGAAACACUGAAUUCUACUCCUGAAACCAGUAUUGCACAGUAUUUUAACGAGAAUUUAAA
rnacentral:lncRNA from 1 species